AUUGAACGCUGGCGGCAGGCCUAACACAUGCAAGUCGAGCGGAUGAAGGGAGCUUGCUCCUGGAUUCAGCGGCGGACGGGUGAGUAAUGCCUAGGAAUCUGCCUGGUAGUGGGGGAUAACGUCCGGAAACGGGCGCUAAUACCGCAUACGUCCUGAGGGAGAAAGUGGGGGAUCUUCGGACCUCACGCUAUCAGAUGAGCCUAGGUCGGAUUAGCUAGUUGGUGGGGUAAGGCCUACCAAGGCGACGAUCCGUAACUGGUCUGAGAGGAUGAUCAGUCACACUGGAACUGAGACACGGUCCAGACUCCUACGGGAGGCAGCAGUGGGGAAUAUUGGGCAAAGGGCGAAAGCCUGAUCCAGCCAUGCCGCGUGUGUGAAGAAGGUCUUCGGAUUGUAAAGCACUUUAAGUUGGGAGGAAGGGCAGUAAGUUAAUACCUUGCUGUUUUGACGGUACCAACAGAAUAAGCACCGGCUAACUUCGUG
rnacentral:rRNA from 1 species